ensembl:snRNA U6 U6 spliceosomal RNA
GUGCUCGCUUCGGCAGCACAUAUUCUAAAAUUGGAACGAUACAGAGAAGAUUUAGCAUGGCCCCUGCACAAGGAUGACAAGCAAACUCGUGAAGCGUUCCAUAUUUUU